rnacentral:rRNA from 1 species
GUCCUACGGGAGGCAGCAGUAGGGAAUCUUCCACAAUGGGCGAAAGCCUGAUGGAGCAACGCCGCGUGGGUGAAGAAGGUCUUCGGAUCGUAAAACCCUGUUGUUAGAGAAGAAAGUGCGUGAGAGUAACUGUUCACGUUUCGACGGUAUCUAACCAGAAAGCCACGGCUAACUACGUGCCAGCAGCCGCGGGAAUACGUAGGUGGCAAGCGUUAUCCGGAUUUAUUGGGCGUAAAGCGAGUGCAGGCGGGUCAAUAAGGCUGAGGUG